AACCGCCGGAUACGGACCCGUAUGUCCGGUGGUGUGGGAGGGGCGGAGCCGCGAGGCUUCCCCCUAUCCCGAU
rnacentral:autocatalytically_spliced_intron from 2 species